GUGCCACAGAAAAGAUACCGCCCGCCGAUUUUUAUGGCGGGUAAGGGUGAAAAGGCGAGGUAAGAGCUCACCGCCCGGGCCGCGAGGCUCGGGGUCCAGGCAAACCCCGUCGGGAGCAAGGCAGUUGGGCGGCGCGCGCUGCUCGCGCACGCCCGGGCGCAAGCCCGGGGCAGCCGCCCGGUGGCCGCAUCAGAGAAAUGAUCCUCCAGUCCCGCAAGGGAUGGACAGAAUCCGGGGUAUAGGCCGUCCCUGAAU
rnacentral:RNase_P_RNA from 1 species